CUCUGAUCUGUGGCUGCAUAAAAGUUUCCCCAGGGCUUAGCAGGUUAAAACAGCAGUCUGUCUCAUGACCUUGGGGGUCAGGAAUUCGGCUCCCUGGCUUUCUGUGCACACUUACGUGACAAGAAAACCGGAAGAGAAAUCACCCAGGCACACUUGAGACUGCAAAGAACAAGGGUACAAAGAAACCAACUGAGAAGAGAAAUUCUGGGAAAAGGACAUUGGGACAAAGAGUGAUGCAUUUACG